rnacentral:rRNA from 1 species
UGGGCAACCUGCCCUGUACUGGGGAAUAAUCAUUGGAAACGAUGACUAAUACCGCAUGUGGUCCUCGGAAGGCAUCCUCUGAGGAAGAAAGGAUUUAUUUGGUACAGGAUGGGCCCGCAUCUGAUUAGCUAGUUGGUGAGAUAACAGCCCACCAAGGCGACGAUCAGUAGCCGACCUGAGAGGGUGAUCGGCCACAUUGGGACUGAGACACGGCCCAA